rnacentral:rRNA from 1 species
CACGUGAGCAAUCUGCCCCUGACUCUGGGAUAAGCGCUGGAAACGGCGUCUAAUACUGGAUACGAGCUGCGAUCGCAUGGUCAGUAGCUGGAAAGAUUUUUUGGUCAGGGAUGAGCUCGCGGCCUAUCAGCUUGUUGGUGAGGUAAUGGCUCACCAAGGCGUCGACGGGUAGCCGGCCUGAGAGGGUGACCGGCCACACUGGGACUGAGACACGGCCCAGACUCCUACGGGAGGCAGCAGUGGGGAAUAUUGCACAAUGGGCGAAAGCCUGAUGCAGCAACGCCGCGUGAGGGAUGACGGCCUUCGGGUUGUAAACCUCUUUUAGCAGGGAAGAAGCGAAAGUGACGGUACCUGCAGAAAAAGCGCCGGCUAACUACGUGCCAGCAGCCGCGGUAAUACGUAGGGCGCAAGCGUUAUCCGGAAUUAUUGGGCGUAAAGAGCUCGUAGGCGGUUUGUCGCGUCUGCUGUGAAAUCCCGAGGCUCAACUUCGGGUCUGCAGUGGGUACGGGCAGACUAGAGUGCGGUAGGGGAGAUUGGAAUUCCUGGUGUAGCGGUGGAAUGCGCAGAUAUCAGGAGGACUCUUU